rnacentral:tRNA from 1 species
GUGGAACAGCGGUAGAAUGCGAGCUUUCAGACUGCGAGACACGGGUUCGAAUCUG